rnacentral:rRNA from 1 species
GACGAACGCUGGCGGCGUGCUUAACACAUGCAAGUCGAACGGAAAGGCCCUGCUUUUGUGGGGUGCUCGAGUGGCGAACGGGUGAGUAACACGUGAGUAACCUGCCCUUGACUUUGGGAUAACUUCAGGAAACUGGGGCUAAUACCGGAUAGGAGCUCCUGCUGCAUGGUGGGGGUUGGAAAGUUUCGGCGGUUGGGGAUGGACUCGCGGCUUAUCAGCUUGUUGGUGGGGUAGUGGCUUACCAAGGCUUUGACGGGUAGCCGGCCUGAGAGGGUGACCGGGCACAUUGGGACUGAGAUACGGACCAGACUCCUACGGGAGGCAGCGGUGGGGAAUAUUGCACAAUGGGCGGAAGCCUGAUACAGCAACGCCGCGUGCGGGAUGACGGCCGUCGGGUUGGAAACCGCUUUCGCCUGUGACGAAGCGUGAGUGACGGUAAUGGGUAAAGAAGCACCGGCUAACUACGUG